rnacentral:misc_RNA from 1 species
UAAACAUGUGAGCUGGCAAGUGUG